GCACCAUUAGUCCAGUGGAUAGGACAAAGGUCUCCGAAGCCUUAGGCACAGGUUCGACUCCUGUAUGGUGCACCA
rnacentral:tRNA from 1 species